rfam:Chloroflexi bacterium RIFOXYD12_FTLL_57_15 rifoxyd3_full_scaffold_3849_curated, whole genome shotgun sequence.
CGGUCGGGAGAGCUGCAUCGGAGCGGUUCGCGUGAAGACUACUUCCCUCGGCUG